rnacentral:rRNA from 1 species
UGAGGAAUAUUCCGCAAUGGGGGAAACCCUGACGGAGCAACGCCGCGUGCAGGAUGAAGGCCCUCGGGUCGUAAACUGCUUUUAUAAGCGAAGAAUAUGACGGUAACUUAUGAAUAAGGGUCGGCUAACUACGUGCCAGCAGCCGCGGUCAUACGUAGGACCCAAGCGUUAUCCGGAGUGACUGGGCGUAAAGAGUUGCGUAGGCGGCUAGAUAAGCGAGCAGUGAAAUCCCGUGGCUCAACCAUUGGGGCUAUUGCUUGAACUGUCUAGCUCGAGAGUGGUAGAGGUAAUUGGAAUUUCUAGUGUAGGAGUGAAAUCCGUAGAUAUUAGAAGGAACACCAAUGGCGUAGGCAGAUUACUGGACCAUUUCUGACGCUGAGGCACGAAAGCGUGGGGAGCG